CAGAACAUAGUUUAAAAAGAAUUUUGGCUUUGGGAGUCAUUGGCGGAGGUUAGAGCCCUCCUGUUCUGA
rnacentral:tRNA from 1 species